AGAAAUUUAGGAUAAAUAAACCAAAAGCCUUCAAAGCUUUAAAUAAGAGUUAAACUCUCUUAAUUUCUG
rnacentral:tRNA from 1 species